rnacentral:rRNA from 1 species
UACGGGGGGGGCAAGCGUUGUUCGGAAUUACUGGGCGUAAAGGGCUCGUAGGCGGCCAACUAAGUCGGACGUGAAAUCCCCAGGCUCAACCUGGGAACUGCGUCCGAUACUGGAUGGCUUGAAUCCGGGAGAGGGAUGCAGAAUUCCAGGUGUAGCGGUGAAAUGCGCAGAUAUCAGGAGGAACACCUAAGGCGAAGGCAGCUCGCUGGAACGGUACUGACGCUGAGGCGCGAAAGCGUGGGGAGCAAACAGG